AUACGGAGGCUGCAAGCGUUACUCGGAAUCACUGGGCGUAAAGGAUGCGUAGGCUGGAUGUCAAGUUGGAAGUGAAAUCCUAUGGCUUAACCAUAGAACUGCUUCCAAAACUGGCAACCUAGAGUGAGGGAGAGGCAGAUGGAAUUAGUGGUGUAGGGGUAAAAUCCGUAGAUAUCACUAGGAAUACCGAUUGCGAAGGCGAUCUGCUAGAACUCUACUGACGCUAAGGCAUGAAAGCGUGGGGAGCAAACAGGAUUAGAAACCCUAGUAGUCC
rnacentral:rRNA from 1 species